CUAGUGGUUUGUGAAGCUUCAUGUCCCCAUCACUACUGACCAGGGUACUGUAAUAUGAGGAGGAACACAGACCAGCAGGAGGACGUCUGUUCAACCUAGGGAUUCAGAAUAUCUAUCUUCAAAUGAUGUAAGAUGAAGACCUGAAAAGGCUUUACACCAUAAAUACGUUGUAAAAUUAAAAGCGAAAAUGUUAAUUUUG